GCUGACUGCCUGUCCUUCACGCUCCAAGAGUCCCUCAGGCUUGACUCAAAACUCUCCACACCCACCCCACCACCGUUAACACUGCUAAGGAAUUUAGCGAUCAGGCAUCUCCUGGGAAUCUUGGAACACAUCCCUUGAAGAUAAGGGAGGAACAGAAUAGUAAGACAUACGUUGACAGAUGUAAAAACCUCAGUGCAACUUAAGCAGGAUUAAUACAAAGAAAAUAAUAAGUAGGCAUAUCACAGCCCAGCUCUGGCAAUGCAAAGAUAAAGGAAGACUUUUUAAAGCUGUCAGAGGAGUAGUCAUGCGGUAACUACAGGAACAGAAUCCGAGAAGCACAGAUUUCCCAUCAGAGGCAACAAUGGCAUCUUACAGGACCGAAAGAGAAACUUCCUGCCAGCCAGAUUUCCGUGUCUACUGGAAAUACUCAUCAGGGGUGAAGGGUCUGUUCUGUGUUGUUCCUGCUGCUGCAGUGGAUGCUACGGCUGAUUCAGACAGACAGAGGAGCAGCUUCUGACUGACGGAGGGACCCGAAUUAACUUGAAAUAAGGACUCUGCUUUUGCAUCGGGGAAUAUGAGCAGCCUGCCCUUUUGCUCUUGGGGGCAGGGGGAAGUCAUGACUGCUGUGACCACACCAUUGGGCUCACAAUAUAAUGUCCUGCAAGGCAGGGAUCCAUGAGGGAACCGUCUUAACCAAAUGGAAAAUUAUUUACUGUAAACCAGUUGGAUGCAGCAACAGCUUCAUACACCUUGAGUCUACUGUCUUCUGGUUAUGUCACCUCUUCUGCUGGAUUUAAUCUAGGACUUCGUUCAUGACAGCCUUAGGAACAAUAGGCUGUACCAUAUAUGUGUCCCACAUGGUCUAGGUUUGUAAUAUGCUAUACUGUCUAGGUUUGUGUAAGAAAGUUGCAUGAUGUUUACGCAAAGGUAAUAUCAGCUAAAGAGACCUGAGAACAUGUCUCCCUUGUAAAACUACAGCAGUCUGCUUAGAAUCUCUGCAGGAUGCUGGAACCAGAGCCAUCGGCUGCUGCAGCUGUUGAAUCUGUGAAAAGAUGAUCUUCCCUGUUGUGGGAAGCUUCAGAGACAGCUGCAGCAGUAGAGAAAUAAAAUGUUUUCUUCCUUUCUGCCCUCAAGUCAGCUCUGUCAGGGUCUCCUACCCAGUGAGCAUAGCCAGAAGCAAACAGCAGAGGAGUUUGCCGGGUCCAGCUUCCCAAGACGCAGAGAGAACUGCCGGCUCCGUGGGCAUUUGACUUGUGCAGUCGCCCAGGGCCAGUCACCCAGGGCCCCACCCUUAAAGGAACCCUAUGCUUGCUUUAAUGCUCCCUUGUCACUGCCUUGAGAUUUUAAUUUAAAAACAGAGUCUCACAUUUUUAUUUUGCACUCACCCUGCAAAUUAUGUGGCUGGUCUCAUAGACCGGAGCAUGGAGGGGCAUGAAUGAAGCAGACAGCCAAGAGAAAAAUGCCAGAGCUGCCGUGUGCCAAAUUGCUAUCCUCAAAGUUUAUAACAACUUGAAUGUCUCAGAAAUGUAGGGAGUUGCCUGGGAAACCAUAAAUGGAUUUUGGUGCUGAUAGACAAGUUUCUAAGAUUUUUUUUCCCACACACUGUGUGUACUGGUUCCAAAAGCAGCGAUGGAGAAGUCAACCAGCUGGCUUUUGGGUCUUCAACCUAGAGGGUCAGGUUAUAAGGCUUUCAUGUGUCAUUCUCCAGUCUCCUGUAGGAAGAGACCUGACAGGGAGCCCACUGGUUCUCAAGAAAUCUAUACACCAUUGCCUCCCUUUAUGGUAGUAUUUAAGUCUGACAUAUUUAUCUGUUAGUGUCUCUGCUGGCACGUUGGUGUAGAGAUGGCAGUGGCCCAGUCACUCACGAGCACUUGGAGUCUGUGAGGGUCAGCAGAUACUAGUUUCAGCAUACCUUCUGGAAGAAGAUGGUUCUUGAUUGGUCCCAAAUUCCCCAGCAACAGCAAGGGAAGGGAAGAGGCAAAGGGAUUUCAAAAAAAGUCUUGGUUGAGUGGGUAAGCUAUUACAUGAACCAAAGCACAGUCACCUCAUAGAGGGGAGUGGAGAGGUAACCAGGAGAAGAGGUAGAUGAAUUCCUAAAGGAACCCCAAACUGCUGCUUUAGCCCUUGACGAACCAAGAAAAGCUCACUUUGAGAUAGGGAGCUUUCCAUUACACCUGCCGGUCAACUAAAAUGUGCUUCUGGACAUCUUUGAAUUAAAUCACAGAGCCUAUAGGUAGUUUUCUGUAACUCCCUGUAAAAGAUGAGAUUGAUUUUUUUUUUAAAUCCUUGCUAUCUGCCAGUGUGUAUCUGGCUAUAGUCAGAUAUGCUAGCUUUGGCUCCCAAAGAUAGAACAGUGGAAGGAAUGGAAACAACACUGACCUUCUGAGACCUACAGCCUGAAGAGAGAAGAAAGCAACCAGUGGCGCUAAGGCAAGAUUAGCACUGGGCAGGAGCGUUGAAGGGUGUUUGAAGAAAACAUAGCACGUCAUCAAAGCGUCAGGGAGCGCCUGGGAAUGCGGCUGAGCAGCACUAAACCAAGCAAGAAGGCGGCCAUUGAAGGAAAAGGGAACAACUAGUACACAGUUCACAGUACACAGAGGUGACAGCUCACUUUGGAUGUAGGAACCGAAGGAAAUAGAAUGUGGAGAGGCAGCAGUGGAGCUCGGGAGGCUGAGAUGGCAGGGGCAUCUGUCAAUUUCUUACCACAUGCAAACCCUAGAUUGAUUUCUAUUACAGCAAGGAAUAAAGGGAAAAGGAAAAGCCGAACUCAUUCAAGAUAGCGCUUGAAUACCCAUGACCUUUACCUAAGGGCAAUGACAAAUGAUUCAGGUCUUCAGUCUCAGGAAAGAGACGUGAGGUACGAGUCAUCAUUAGUGCUGCGAUCCUGGUACUCAGGAAGCUGAGACAAGAAGACUGGGAAUUGCAAGCCAGACUGGAGCAUAUCUCAAAAAAUGUAGUGAGAGGGGUUUUUAGACAAGCAUAAAGAAUCGCCUUUUGAAUAAGUUCAGUUUGUGGUCUCCGUGGGCUGAUCAAGUGGAGUUGUCUAGUAGAUGGAUGUUAAUUAUUAGUCACUAACUGAGAACCUUAAAUUACUUCAGGGGAGCUUAGCAAGCGAGUUUCUUUGCAAAUCUUAAAGGAGUCAAGCACAAAUUCUUUUGUUUUGCUGCAGGAGAAACCAGGCAAAGUCUAAACCAUCAAAUUCCUACACCCUUUUAAAAUCCAUGACUCCUCCCAGCUGCAGGGAAGGUCCCUUGGGACUCUAGCAUGGGUUUCAUGGCUUUCCUAUUGUCUGCUUCCCCAGUUUAAAAAUUAGCGUAGAUUAGGUUAUGAGCCCAAGGCAGAAUCUGAGCUGAAUUCAUCUUUAGGUUCCCAGUGCUUCAUAAGAUUCCCUGAACACAAUAGACUCAUCUUUGCUGAGUGAUUCUAAUUUGUGUCUUAAAAUUCAUCUGCUGAGUCUAAAGGAAAUUAAAACAAUUAUAUAUUUUAAAGAUAGCCAGUAGUUUUUGUAUAACAAUGAAAACAGAUUUAAUUUGUAAUUUAUUUUUUUAUUUUUAUUUUAUUUUUUUAGACAGAGUCUUAAUAUGUAGCCUGGCUGAUCUGGGUCUUGAUAUAUAGCUUGGACUGCCUCUACUUCUCAAGUGUUAGGCAUGCUAGGCUGCUAGGCUUUGAAAACAAAUUUAAAUAACAACUCGAAAGUUAAAGGCAGCUCUCUUUUUAUUUCGAAAUGUAAACUGCGACAUUAAAAAUUUGUUCUUUUUCUCCUUCUCAGUUUUUUUAACCUUUUGGUGACUUUUACACUCACACUGAACUAAAAAUAAAGCAGAGCAGAGAAAAAUACCUCUGGGUCAACAUAAAAGCUAAACAUGUGAGUGCUUUGAAAUGCAGGGGGCUGGGGCUGGGGCUCAGUGGCUGAGGACUUACUUAGCAUAGACAGGUCCAGUCUGCACUACUACAAAAGGAGCAGAUAAAUAAACCAUAAUCUCACUACUCAGGGAUUGUGCCUUACAUUUAGAAAAUAAAACAAAAUCAAAACAAACAAACAAACCAGACCGGAGGUAGGGGGAGGAAGGAGGAGGACAGGGGCAGGGAGACAAAGAAAUAGUAAUAUCUGGAGACGGCGCAUGUUGCUUGGAAAACGAAUGGGACACCAGGCUAGGCCUAGGGAUGUGUGUCUGGAGUCCCAGCUACUUCACAGGCUGAUGAGAGAUGUCUUGAGCCAAGGGGCUGAAAGCCAUCCUGUGUGACAAAGU